GAUGAACGCUGGCGGCGUGCCUAAUACAUGCAAGUCGAGCGAACGGACGAGAAGCUCGCUCUUCUGCUGUUAGCGGCGGACGGGCGAGUAACACGUGGAUAACCUACUUAUAUGACUGGGAUAACUUCGGGAAACCGGAGCUAAUACCGGAUAAUAUUUUGAACGGCAUGGUUCAAAAGUGAAAGACGGUUUUCCUGUCACUUAUAGAUGGAUCCGCGCUGCAUUAGCUAGUUGGUAAGGUAACGGCCUACCAAGGCAACGAUGCAUAGCCGACCUGAGAGGGUGAUCGGCCACACUGGAACUGAGACACGGUCCAGACUCCUACGGGAGGCAGCAGUAGGGAAUCUUCCACAAUGGGCGAAAGCCUGACGGAGCAACGCCGCGUGAGUGAUGAAGGUCUUCGGAUCGUAAAGCUCUGUUAUUAGGGAAGAACAUAUGUGUAAGUAACUGUGCACGUCUUGACGGUACCUAAUCAGAAAGCCACGGCUAACUACGUG
rnacentral:rRNA from 1 species